ensembl:lncRNA
CCUUAACGCAUGUGUAUUUCCCAAAUCUAAAAAUAGCCUAUAAAACACAUUCAUAGACGGAUAGUUUUCUGAUGUCUGGACUCUGUUUGGGAUUUAUAAAAACAUUAACAGAUGGUUUAAUAUAUUGUUAAUGAAUACAUUCUGUGAGAAUUUACAUUUCAGGUUUUGACUGCGAAUGUCAUGUCAGUAAUGCUGGAAUUGCCAAGUAAUGAAACUAAAAUGUCUCGGGACAGUUUCUUUUUGCUGUAACAGUCCAUGGUUCUGCUACUAUGGUUUUAGUAGGAUGUAGUACUACUCCUGUCCAUUAGGGACCCUAAGUUGCUCUUCUCCUCUAGCUUAAAUCCCGGUGAGGUAGUAGAGGAAAAAGAGAUCUGUUUGGUGAAGUGGAAGCAGCCGCCAUUAAAUCAAAAAGAAGAAGAAGAAGUGGAAGCAUGGUUUUCUCUUCCAGUAUUCAAUGCAGUAAAGUCAAGAUUGAGAAAUAUGUGUUUCAAGCUCAAUCAUAAUGGCACACAAGAGUGUGAACAGCUGCCCGACUCCCAGCCAGAGCCUCCUGCACACCUUCACUUCCUAGGAGGGGAGAAAAUUCCCUCAGCACUUGUGAAAAGUCGCAUGCCAGAUCAGAUGUUUGCUUAAAGUAAGAUGAUAUCGGAUAAAAGGCUGGCUGCACUGGUGCCGCUUUCUCGGAUAUCACUCUCAUGUUCCCUAUUCCUUUUGAGCAGGAGAGAAUAUAUUUUAUUUUUAUUUAUUUAUUUAUUUAUUUUUUUAACCAAGUUUCCCCGAAGCCCCUAUUAACAUGAGGGACCAACUUAUAUCAAAAUUCAAAAGGUGCAGUUGGUGACCCCCAGCUCUCUUGACCUCAACCUGCUCCCUGAAAGCUCAGAGUUCAGAAACAGUUUUCUUUUGGCUUUGUAAUACACGGCGUGGUGUAAAUAAUUUAUUUGACACAAAUUUCCACAUCUUUCGGGGGGACAUUCCUCUCAUUGAACUCAAAACCGAGGCUUACUCAAAGCCAUUUUGGAUCUAUCGGAAUACUGCCGUUUGUUUCCCUGUAGAGUUUCUCUCAUACUAAUGUAGUUUCCUGACACAAGUGUUCAGAGUAACCCACCUCUGAGCAAUGUUCCACAAACCAGCCAACACAAACCAAAACCUGAACAUCUCAGAAUACAGGCAACUGAGCUCAGAUCAAAAGAUAUUGAAUUUGAGCAAAGCAACACAGGAACAAUCCUGAGGGCCGCUGUGUCAUAUUACAUUUGGAGCCAACUAUAACGAGAUCAAGGUUUAUUGUCUUAGGUUAACAAGUGUAAGGCUUUAAACAAACUGCACCAAUGAUUUCGUGUGUGUGUGUGUUACUGGCUUUACAAAAAAAAAAUAUUUCCAAAAUUUUGCAUUUUUAUGUACCCAUGCUGCAAAUUCCAGGCAUAUUUAAAUAAAGUUGGAUGCAAAGACGCA